rnacentral:lncRNA from 1 species
GUUGCAACAGCCCGCAAGCAACGGAUCUUGGAUAAAUCUCUCCCCCACCGCCUCAUCCAUCGCAUUCACGAACUCAACCCAGGGAGUAUAUAAGCCAAUGAGUGCAUGCCCUUGCCAUCAACCAUGAGCCAUCGAGCCCCGUUCCUAAACGAAAGCUCAUGGGGUAGCCGAAGACUUCGUUGAUGAGCAGAGAGAAAAAUUGCUAUGUGUUGCCACCGUUCCAAUUUGGAAGCAUGCAGUCACCGAGGCGAGAAGACCGUGCGCAAGGCGUCUUCGAGCAUGGAGAACCCCAAGAAACAACAGGAAUUGCUCGGCGGAGUUCGUUCUUCAUCGUCGCCAAGCUGCUGCGCAGACGAUCCGUCCUCCACGGAGGUUUGGGGGCGCCACCACAUAUUUGCUUCUGGUCUGAGGCUUUGAAGAAUCACGGAUGCAUAAGGAUCAUACCUACGACGUUGUUGGGGAUCGAGAAUUGAUCGGUGACCAGGAACCGCUCACCGGCGUUGUUGCACCUCCCCGGAUUUUCGGAGUGUCGUGGACAGAGCUCUACGUUGCGUCUACAUAGGUGAGUACCUGCCAGUCAUGUUUGCCUCGUCCUUUGCUUCGGGUAGCACCAGUCAGCUCGGAGUUGGGAGCCCGGGACCACUGUGCAGGGCUUCGCCGGUUAGGCUCCGUCGCUCGGCGUGGUGGCGUCGCCACCCUGCUCCUAUCUCUGUUGGGAGGUAGGAGACGGAUCCCUGGUCGUUGGAUCGUGGGGGUGAGGGUUAGGAUUAGAGCUGGGUGUCCUGGUCAUGGAGAAAAUCAGGACCAUUGAUAUGUAGAUGGACGGUCGGGAUUAGAAGGUCAAUAAACUCUCGUGUUUUACAGCCUGGGUCGUAGAUCUUUAAGGCCUUGUUCGGUUACAUCGGAUUGUACCCGGAAUCGUUCCGGCUAAUCAAAGUUUAUAUAAAUUAGAGAAGCAAUCCGACUCGGAAUCGUUCCGACCUACCAAUCCGACACAAACGAACAAGGCCUAAGGGCUCGUUCGUUUGUACAGGAUUAGACCAGGAUUCAUUCCAACUUAUCAAAACCUACAUAAAUUAGAUAAACAAUCCGGCCAGGAACCGUUCCAGGCCUUCAAUCCGUGAAAAACGAACAAGCCCUAAUCUGGUGGUCCAUAUCAUGUACCGUUUCACUUAAAGACCAUCUAAUCUGCGUCAUAGAUAUGGAUCCAACAGCUCGGAAUCAGGGAUACCCGUUCAUCCAGGCAACUUUGCAUAAGGGCCCCUGGGCUUCUAGAGAACCAACCCACGAUCCACGGUAGUGCCAGGAACAUUACAUCUAGGUCCUGAACUUUACAGAGUAGACCCUGGAUUUCAAAAAAAAUUAUGGUCGCGGUCCAUAAAUCCCUAGUUAUUGGUAAAAUUACUUCGAAAAUGAUUUUUAAUGCAAAAGUAAUUCUAAAAACCAUCGGAAAUGCAUGACUAAUUCAUUUUAACUCCUUUUUGACCCAUUCUAGUUGUGUUAGUUUCGUAAUAAAAUUUCCUACACAUUACAAGUACUAAUUAUGACAUCUCGCAUACCUUUAUAAUUAGAUAGUUAUUUAAUCUAUGAUUGUUUGACUAACCCCUAAUAAAGGUUAAUUUGUCCAUAGUUACGAUUUAACUAAAUUAAGAUUUGUUACCUCGAAUAAAUCCAUUAAUACUGUUUAAUAUAAUGCUCACAUGAAUCAUAGUAACAUAUGAGUCAUUCUCACUAUUUUAUCGCCCACAACUUUGGAAAAUCGUAUCUUUUAACCGAAACUCCGAAUUCGGUGGUUCUCGAACUUGCGCUCUCGUAGCAACGCUUAGAAUAUUCUUACAUAGUUUGUUCUCAUGUUUGGUGUAAUGUUAUUUUUAUGUACUCCUUGUCUAUGUGUAUGUGUUGCUAUGUGUAGCAGCGAGGUUACGAG